CGUGAAUGCGCUGUAUGUAAGGAACGCCUCCUCACAUAUGCCCCAUUCACAGA
rnacentral:pre_miRNA from 1 species